GUCCGGCUAGCUCAGCUGGUCAGAGCACCGCCUCGACACGGCGGGGGCCGCUGGUUCGAAUCCAGCGCCGGACA
rnacentral:tRNA from 1 species